UGGAGGCACGAAGUCGACAAUCAUUCAGUAGAUCCAUGCCUAAAAAUAUCCAUGUAUAUCCUGAGUAUCUUUUGGUUCUGUGAAGUGAGAUACGUGUCUGAAUAAUCCUCGUGUAUUCGGGAACUAGUGGAGAAGUGGCAAAGGCGAAUGAAGCAGACGGGCGGUGAGAAACGGAGGACGAUGCAGGGAAGCCACAGAGAAAGGAAGGGAGAACUUUUAUUAGCACAACAGUGAACUCUAGCUGGGAUGUCGGCUAGAUUUCAUUACUACCACCACCACAUCAUUCUCCUCUUCUUGUCAACGGGGGCGCAGCAAAUGAAGAUCUCUUGUGAUCAAAUGUGGCUACUUACUAACAAUAGCACCCUCCUCUCCGCUCUCCAUGCGUACCAAGACCGGACAAA
rnacentral:lncRNA from 1 species